rnacentral:rRNA from 1 species
AUGCGGCGCAUUAGCUAGUCGGCGGGGUAACGGCCCACCGAGGCGACGAUGCGUAGGGGUUCUGAGAGGAAGGUCCCCCACACUGGUACUGAGACACGGACCAGACUCCUACGGGAGGCAGCAGUGAGGAAUAUUGGUCAAUGGGCGAGAGCCUGAACCAGCCAAGUCGCGUGAGGGAAGACGGUCCUAUGGAUUGUAAACCUCUUUUGUCGGGGAGCAAAAAGGCCUCGUGAGGCCACAAGUGAGAGUACCCGAAGAAAAAGCAUCGGCUAACUCCGUGCCAGCAGCCGCGGUAAUACGGAGGAUGCGAGCGUUAUCCGGAUUUAUUGGGUUUAAAGGGUGCGUAGGCGGACUGGAAAGUCAGCGGUAAAAUCGAGAGGCUCAACCUCUUUCCGCCGUUGAAACUGUCGGUCUUGAGUGGGCGAGAAGUAUGCGGAAUGCGUGGUGUAGCGGUGAAAUGCAUAGAUAUCACGCAGAACUCCGAUUGCGAAGGCAGCAUACCGGCGCCCGACUGACGCUGAGGCACGAAAGCGUGGGUAUCGAACAGGAUUAAGAUACCUUGGUAGUCCACGCAGUAAACGAUGAAUAUUAAUUGUCCGGUCAGAAUGAUGACUGGGUGAUACAGCGAAAGCGUUAAGUAUUCCACCUGGGGAGUACGCCGGCAACGGUGAAACUCAAAGGAAUUGACGGGGGCCCGCACAAGCGGAGGAACAUGUGGUUUAAUUCGAUGAUACGCGAGGAACCUUACCCGGGCUCAAACGUAGAAUGACAGACGGUGAAAGCCGUUCUCCCUUCGGGGCAGUCUACGAGGUGCUGCAUGGUUGUCGUCAGCUCGUGCCGUGAGGUGUCGGCUUAAGUGCCAUAACGAGCGCAACCCCCAUCUACAGUUGCUAACAGGUAAAGCUGAGGACUCUGUGGAGACUGCCGGCGCAAGCUGUGAGGAAGGCGGGGAUGACGUCAAAUCAGCACGGCCCUUACGUCCGGGGCGACACACGUGUUACAAUGGCAGGUACAGCGGGAAGCCAUAUGGCGACAUAGAGCGGAACCCGAAAACCUGUCUCAGUUCGGAUUGGAGUCUGCAACUCGACUCCAUGAAGCUGGAUUCGCUAGUAAUCGCGCAUCAG